rnacentral:rRNA from 1 species
UACGGAGGGUGCAAACGUUGCUCGGAAUUAUUGGGCGUAAAGCGCACGUAGGCGGACCAUCAAGUCGGAUGUGAAAUCCCUCGGCUUAACCGAGGACGUGCAUUCGAUACUGAUGGCCUUGAGUACGAAAGAGGAUCGCGGAAUUCCCGGUGUAGAGGUGAAAUUCGUAGAUAUCGGGAGGAACACCAGUGGCGAAGGCGGCGAUCUGGGUCGAUACUGACGCUGAGGUGCGAAAGCGUGGGGAGCAAACAGGG